AUUGAACGCUGGCGGCAGGCCUAACACAUGCAAGUCGAACGAGUGGCGGACGGGUGAGUAAUGUCUGGGAAACUGCCCGAUGGAGGGGGAUAACUACUGGAAACGGUAGCUAAUACCGCAUACCAUCGGAUGUGCCCAGAUGGGAUUAGCUAGUAGGUGGGGUAACGGCUCACCUAGGCGACGAUCCCUAGCGUGUCUGAGAGGAUGACCAGUCAAACUGGGAGUGAGACACGGUCCAGACUCUGACGGGAGGCAGCAGUGGGGAAUAUUGCACAAUGGGCGCAAGCCGGAUGCAGCCAUGCCGCGUGUAUGAAGAAGGCCUUCGGGUUGUAAAGUACUUUUAGCGAGGAGGCGUUACUCGAAGAAGAAGCACCGGCUAACUCCGUGCCAGCAGCCGCGGUAAUUC
rnacentral:rRNA from 1 species